AGCAAGGCUACCUGUAAGCAGUCAUAGAAGGAGUGUCUGGGAAACCUGCUUGGAAACGAUUUAGUGGCACGGUACAGCAGUUGUAGGUGCAGACCAAGUCUUGAUGGCCUGCUCAGGACUGACAAAAACAUGUGUUAACAUCUUUAUUAACGAAUAACCAAAUCAAACCCCUUCUCUGACGCAGUCUGACGUGGUAACAUUUAACGAUAUCGAAAGUUAAGAUUUUAUUGUUGGUACCUUCAAAGUACUGAUAAUGAUUUAAAACCGUUUAGGACACUCCCGUCGCUAGUUCACGUCCAGUUUGAUCGUAGAUGCAACGUAGCACGAACGCAGAUUGUUAAGGGUGCUCUUUCUUCAUUUAAAAGCAGACAAUGACCAGUCUCCGUCAAACUCUAUAACCCUGUGAAAUCACCAUAAAGGUCUUUUGUUCUGAGACAUUUAAAUUGAUGGACACGGAAGUCAGCAAGACUGCGUUUGCUACAUCAUACUGCGGGUGCCUUGCCAGGAUA
ensembl:lncRNA